rfam:Burkholderia sp. AD24 chromosome I sequence.
UGUCUCCUCCAUGUCUCCAACGAUAUGGAUUCAGCCCGCCAAACUAGGUGGGCUUUUUUUU